GCAGCAACAGAGAAGGCCCUGUCCCGUGUGCACGACAACCAAGCCUUCCUCAUUGUUGGCACCCGGAGCAGAGCACCCUCAGAUGACCUCGUCAAGUAGGCAGCAACCCUUGGGAGCAGGCGGUCCCUCAGGUAGCACUUUUGAAACAAAAGAAGCAUGGUUCUUAACAGAAAUGUGAGAGACAAGAAAUCCACAAAAGGAACACCAAGGCCAAAACUGGCUUUUGGAAUUGAGGAAGGGAAGUUCUGAAAUGAAACUGGAGGACCCUGAAGACGUACCGGUUUUCCCAGGCCUUCAACUGAGAUUCAAUUUUUAAAUUUCAAUGUGUUUUAAAUGUAUUUUUUAUCUAUGAUUUUUCUUUUUAUGAAUUUUAAAUGUGUUAUAUUGUAUGUUUUAAUUCUGUACACCACCUAGAGAUUUUUAUACUAGGCGUUAUAUAAAUAAAAUAAAUAAAUAAAUACAUUAUAUGUAAAA